UAUAUAAUUUUAGAAAAAUAAUGGCGUCUGAUUUUAGUUUUUUUAUUUAGUAGAGAUCAAACUUGGUGAGGAAUAACUGUUUAUUACAAAUUCACGAUAUCCAAGAAGGUAUAAAAUUCAGCAAAACCUUCCUUUUGUCUCUAUUGUUAUCACAAUAAGAGGAAAAACGGACAACAGGUAAAUUAUUAUUAUUGUUUAUGAUAAUAUUUCAGAGAAACAAAUUCCUGAAUAUGACUCUAAAGCAAAGGUGUCAAAAGUACGGUAGAUGGGCCAUUUGUGGCCCUCACAAUGAUUUUGUGUGGCCUUCAAGUGCAAUUCAAGAAUGGAACAAAUUUGGUUAGUAUGGAUAUCUAUGGUUCAGAGAUUCAAGUAGAUACUCUUUCUUAUCUUUAAUGUAGGAAUUUUCACUGACAAAAUCUUAAAAUGAUGAAUAGAACACAAAGCAUUGGAUUUUUAUGGGCCAUGUUUCUUGCUUUCGUUUUGGCUUCAGUAAAUAGGACUGAAAGAUCCAGUGGCUUUUACUGAAACACUGACUCCAUCUCACUCAUUAAUUAAACUUGGCUAAAUACAGCAAUAUUUAAAGAAACAGAUCUCUGUCUCUGCUCCUAUUGCUCCUAUACUGAGAAGAGACAAAAAAAAUCUAGAUCAAGGAAAUAGGAAACAAACAACCUGAAACAUUUAGGAAAUUGUAUGUCUUUUUUUUUUACAGGGCAAACUGCCAGCCUCCUUUUUAUAUAUCAGAUCCCCAAUGAUUUUCAUAUUCCAUUUAUAUAAAAAAUUAUGUAGCUUUGGUAAUUUAGAAGGUUGAAGAUUUUGACCCUUAAAGCAAAAAGACAUUUAAUUUAUUGAAAGGAUAGGUUCAAUUUGUCCCAAAGUCACUGUAACAGAUCAGAAUUUGAAAUUCACUCAUUAAAAUGCAGCUCACUAAAUAUCUGAUCUUGCCAGUAUUUGCAAAACUUGAACUUUUUAGAGGCUCGGAUACUAACUUGUGUAUAAAAAAAGAGACUCCAGGACAGAUGGAGGCGGCUAUAUUCUCAGUUUCACUCCAUCCUUUCUCUUAACACACGCACACACACACCCCGUAUAUCCUCUCACACUGCAGCAUUCCUCUGCCGAGCCACAACACCCACUCUGUGAGGUGUGAAAGAUGGAGAAAACCCUGAUAUAAUUCCCACUGAACUCCUACAGCUCGCCUUCAGUCCUUACGCAACAUCCACCCCGCUCUGCAAGCGUGUCUGCAUGUGUGACGCAUACGAGGGAGACGGCACCUCGUCCUACACAUGCACAUGCAAAACUGACACUCAGCCGUACGCUCACACACACACACACGCACACAGUCGGAGCGGCGCUGUCACCGCUCCCGCCAAUGUAUAAACCUCACACAGCAGCUCGGAGAGGCAGAGAGCGGGCGAGACGUCAAGAUGUGAGGAUGGAGACAGACGGAGGGAGUGCAGGGACAUCAGCGGAGGGAGACAGAGACAAAGGACAAGACGCUGAGACGCUUUAUUAGAGGCUGAAAAGGUUGGAGAUAGUGGGGGUCGCCUGAGACCAUUUCUGGCUGAGGACAGAGACAGAGACACGUGGUGGGACCGAAUUGUGUGAUUUUUCUCAGAAGUACAGAAAUUUAACAUGUCCAAAGACAAGUUGUGCUUUAAACUUUUUCUCAUUUCUGAAUGUAAUUGUUGCUACUUGUACAUUUUACCAGUAUUUCCUCAGCUGUUAAUAAACUGUUAACUCUU